rnacentral:rRNA from 1 species
AUUGAACGCUGGCGGCAGGCCUAACACAUGCAAGUCGAGCGGAGCGGCGGACGGGUGAGUAAUGCCUAGGGAUCUGCCUGGACGUGGGGGAUAACGUCCGGAAAUGGGCGCUAAUACCGCAUACUAUCAGAUGAGCCUAGGUCGGAUUAGCUAGUUGGUGGGGUAAAGGCCUACCAAGGCGACGAUCCGUAACUGGUCUGAGAGGAUGAUCAGUCACACUGGAACUGAGACACGGUCCAGACUCCUACGGGAGGCAGCAGUGGGGAAUAUUGGACAAGGGGCGAAAGCCUGAUACAGCCAUGCCGCGUGUGUGAAGAAGGAGUGCGGAUUGUAAAGCACUUUAAGUUGGGAGGCGUUACCAACAGAAUAAGCACCGGCUAACUUCGUGCCAGCCGCCGCGGUAAUAC